GUGACUGGUUACUCUGAUAACUUAUAGGCACAUGGCCUCGACCAAUUGGCGUACAUGAAAAAAAUGCUUAGCUGUACUGAGCUUAAGCCUAUGCCUAUGGUUGAUGCUACCCCUAGAUCAAGUCCUUGAAUUAGGCAAUGGCUUCUUAGGGUGGUGUAAGCAGAAGUUGAGGUCAUAGGCUUCAUCUAGCCAAGUCUCUUGGGUAUUUGGUAGUCUUAUUGUCCCUUCUCAUCAACCAUAAAAAUACCUUAGCCUGGCUAAGCUCAUGCAUAUAGCCAAUGCUACCCAAGACCCCAAGAAUAAGUCUUUGAUUAGGCAAUGUCCCCUUGGGGUGGUGAUAGUGGAGUUUGCAUGUGUGGUCUCGGCUAGACCAAGCAUUGGUGGUAUCAUGCCAUUGUUGCCUAUUGGAUGGCGAAGGCAGUCUUAUGGUCAUUCCUUGUGUUUUUCCCAUGCCAAAUGGUUGUGUCAUGGCCUCGUAUGUCAUUUCAUUUGCUUGUUCAUUGAGUAAUCUAUUGGGUGGGUUAUGGAUCAGUGUGCAUAGAUGCUGCCACUUGUGAGUACUAGUCCACCUCAAGGUGAGCACCAGUCUACUCAUCCCUACUGCUAGCGAUGUGUUUCUAGCCUUAAUUGGUUGGGUCAUUCCUAUGGUGCUAUUACUUUGAAGAAAUUAGAGUUCUCAAAGUAGGCCUAUACUUGUAUACAUUAGCAUAGGAUAACAUCAUAGGAUUUUGAUCUUAUUGUGUUGGCUUUCAAGAGUAGAGUAAUAAUUAACAAGGACAAUCAGGGGCAUUCAUAUUUCAUAGUCAAAGGUGAAAUUCUUGGAUUUAUGAAAGACGAACAACUAUGAAAGCAUUUGCCAAUGAUGUUUUCAUUAAUCAAGAAUGAAAGUUAGUGCCUUGAAGACAAUCAGAUACCAUCUUAGUUUCAACCAUAAACAUUAUCGACCAAGGAUCAACAAAUGUUACUUUUAGGACUCCGUCGACACCUUAUGAGAAAUCAAAGUCUUUCGGUUCGGGGUGAGUAUGAUCGCAAGGCUAAAACUUAAAAGAAUUGAUAGAAUGGUAACACCAGGGGUGGAGUUGAUGGCUUAAUUUGACUUAACAUGGGGAAACUUACUAGGUCUAGACAUAGUAAGGAUUGACAAAUUGAGACCUUUUUCUUGAUUCUAUGGGUGGUGGUGCAUGGUCAUUCUUAGUUGGUGGAGUGAUCUGUCUUGUUAAUUCCAUUAGUGAAUAGGACCUCAGCUUGCCAACUAGCUACACAGAGGUGAUCAUUCAUGGCUAGCUUUUUAGAAAGACUAUGGCCACUUAGGUGAAAGAAGUUUAAGGCAAUAAUAGGUUUGUGAUGCCUUUAGAUGUUCUGGGCCACAUGCAUGUUACACUGAUAUAUUCUAUGAGUUUAUAGCCUUGGCCGACAAGCUCAGGUAAUCUUUGAAAUUUCAUCAUGAUGGGGAUAGAUCAUUGCAAUUGGUGGUCUUCAAAGUGGAAUUCCUAGUAAGUGUGAGUCAUCAGCUCAUGUUGACUAUGGCCUUCCCCUUUGUACACACCACCUAUUACUCUUACCGCUUGAAUAGUUUGGUGAAGUGUUUAGAUCAUGGUGACAUGGAUGGUUUGCUACCCAUGACAUCACAAGAAGUCUACUGAACCUUGUCAUUUAAAGGAAGGAGAAGUUGUAACAAGGUUUUUGUAGGUGAACUUAUGAAAG
rnacentral:rRNA from 1 species